AACGAACGCUGGCGGCAUGCCUAACACAUGCAAGUCGAACGCGUGUAGCAAUACACGAGUGGCGGACGGGUGAGUAACGCGUGGGAACCUGCCCAGUGGUAGGGAAUAACUGCGGGAAACUGCAGCUAAUACCCUAUACGCCCUUUGGGGGAAAGAUUCAGUCGCCAUUUGGAGGGGCCCGCGUCGGAUUAGCUAGUUGGCGGGGUAACGGCCCACCAAGGCAACGAUCCGUAGCUGGUCUGAGAGGACGACCAGCCACACUGGCACUGCGACACGGGCCAGACUCCUACGGGAGGCAGCAGUAAGGAAUAUUGCGCAAUGGGCGAAAGCCUGACGCAGCGACGCCGCGUGGGGGAUGAAGGUCUUCGGAUUGUAAACCCCUUU
rnacentral:rRNA from 1 species